rnacentral:rRNA from 1 species
GGACCAAGGAGUCUAGCAUGUGCGCGAGUCAUUGGGACUCUAACGAAACCUAAAGGCGCAAUGAAAGUGAAGGUUCGCCUCGCGCGAACCGAGGGAGGAUGGGCGGUCGCCAGUGGCCGCCCCGCACUCCCGGGGCGUCUCGUUCUCAUCGCGAGAAGAGGCGCACCCAGAGCGUACACGCUGGGACCCGAAAGAUGGUGAACUAUGCCUGGUCAGGACGAAGUCAGGGGAAACCCUGAUGGAGGUCCGUAGCGAUUCUGACGUGCAAAUCGAUCGUCGGAACUGGGUAUAGGGGCGAAAGACUAAUCGAACCAUCUAGUAGCUGGUUCCCUCCGAAGUUUCCCUCAGGAUAGCUGGCGCUCGCUUCUUGCGAGUCUCAUUCGGUAAAGCGAAUGAUUAGAGGCAUUGGGGUCGAAACGGCCUCAACCUAUUCUCAAACUUUAAAUGGGUGAGAUCUCCGGCUUGCUUGAACUGUGAAGCCGCGAGAUAUCGGAUCAGAGUGCCAAGUGGGCCACUUUUGGUAAGCAGAACUGGCGCUGUGGGAUGAACCAAACGCUGAGUUAAAGCGCCUAAAUCGACGCUUAUGGGAUACCAUGAAAGGCGUUGGUAACUUAAGACAGCAGGACGGUGGCCAUGGAAGUCGGAA